rnacentral:tRNA from 1 species
GGGGGUGUAGCUCAGUGGUAGAGCAUUUGCCUGGCAUACAUGAGGAUCCUUAGCACUGCAAAAAAUAAAAUAAAUAAAUAAAAAUGUGAUUACCCCAAGAGCACUGUAUCUUAGUUCUUAUUUUUUCUCCCA